UUCAGGAUGAACGCUGGCGGCGUGCUUAACACAUGCAAGUCGAACGCACUUUCGGGUGAGUGGCGGACGGGUGAGUAACGCGUGAGAAUCUGCCCUCAGGAGGGGGAUAACGGCUGGAAACGGCCGCUAAUACCCCAUAUGCCGCGAGGUGAAACGAGUUUUCGCCUGAGGAUGAGCUCGCGUCUGAUUAGCUAGUUGGUGGGGUAAGAGCCUACCAAGGCAUCGAUCAGUAGCUGGUCUGAGAGGAUGAUCAGCCACACUGGGACUGAGACACGGCCCAGACUCCUACGGGAGGCAGCAGUGGGGAAUUUUCCGCAAUGGGCGAAAGCCUGACGGAGCAACGCCGCGUGAGGGAUGAAGGCCUCUGGGCUGUAAACCUCUUUUCUCAAGGAAGAAGAUCUGACGGUACUUGAGGAAUAAGCCACGGCUAAUUCCGUGCCAGCAGCCGCGGUAAUACGGGAGUGGCAAGCGUUAUCCGGAAUUAUUGGGCGUAAAGCGUCCGCAGGCGGUCUUGAAAGUCUGUUGUUAAAGCGUGGAGCUUAACUCCAUUUCAGCAAUGGAAACUAGAAGACUAGAGUGUGGUAGGGGCAGAGGGAAUUCCCGGUGUAGCGGUGAAAUGCGUAGAUAUCGGGAAGAACACCAGUGGCGAAGGCGCUCUGCUGGGCCAUAACUGACGCUCAUGGACGAAAGCCAGGGGAGCGAAAGGGAUUAGAUACCCCUGUAGUCCUGGCCGUAAACGAUGAACACUAGGUGUCGGGGGAAUCGACCCCCUCGGUGUCGUAGCCAACGCGUUAAGUGUUCCGCCUGGGGAGUACGCACGCAAGUGUGAAACUCAAAGGAAUUGACGGGGGCCCGCACAAGCGGUGGAGUAUGUGGUUUAAUUCGAUGCAACGCGAAGAACCUUACCAGGGUUUGACAUCCUGCGAAUCCCUUGGAAACGAGGGAGUGCCUUCGGGAGCGCAGAGACAGGUGGUGCAUGGCUGUCGUCAGCUCGUGUCGUGAGAUGUUGGGUUAAGUCCCGCAACGAGCGCAACCCACGUCUCUAGUUGCCAGCAUUCAGUUGGGCACUCUAGAGAGACCGCCGGUGAUAAACCGGAGGAAGGUGUGGAUGACGUCAAGUCAUCAUGCCCCUUACAUCCUGGGCUACACACGUACUACAAUGCUACGGACAAAGGGCAGCAAACUCGCGAGAGCUAGCAAAUCCCAUAAACCGUGGCUCAGUUCAGAUCGUAGGCUGCAACUCGCCUACGUGAAGGAGGAAUCGCUAGUAAUCGCAGGUCAGCAUACUGCGGUGAAUACGUUCCCGGGCCUUGUACACACCGCCCGUCACACCAUGGAAGUUGGCCACGCCCGAAGUCGUUACUCCAACCCUUGUGGAGGAGGACGCCGAAGGUGGGGCUGAUGACUGGGGUGAAGUCGUAACAAGGUA
rnacentral:rRNA from 1 species